rnacentral:lncRNA from 1 species
CCUUUAUGCUUCCAACUUGGCAGAGCAUGGUUUGGACUCAGAGAUCUUGUCCUCAGAUGGCCACAGACCCUGUCCUCCUGCAAAUGGGGGUCAAACCUCUGCACACAGUAGUCAGCCUGUUUGGGAGACCAGCUUGGGAACAGGUGGGGGUGCCAUGGCCACCCCACAAGUCCCUGCUCACCCCAAGCAUUUUCCUCAGAGCCGUGGGGGGCAGUGCUGGGGGCAGUCCAGCAGGGCCAUCUCCCACAGCCCCCUCCCAGCCACACACCUCUGCUGCCCAGCACCGGCAGGCCCAGAGCUGCUCUGCCCCUGGCUGCCCUGUGCCCCCGGGGCUCCUCAGCCCUCCGCAGUGACGCGCUGGGGCCCAGCGCGGCCCCGCAGAGAGCAGCCCCUGCCUGGCCGAGGCCCAGCCCUGCCAGGUGCAGAGGGAGGGCUGCCAAGCCCUGGGGCUGCCAUGGGCAGGGGACCAGGGCCUCAGGGGCGACAGGGCCCUGCCAUGCCCUGGCCUGGGGGCAGCAGGAUGCUGCCCGCAGGCUCCGGCACCCCGGCCAUGCCCAGGGCCCCUGCGCCGGCGCCAGGGCCGGCACCAGCACAGGCCCUGGGGCUGCUCCCCCGUGCCCCCCAUGGCCCCCGGGCGCAGGGUAGCCAGCAGCCCCGCAGGGCCCCUGCAGCAGAGCCCAGGCCUGGCGGGGCAGCGGCAGCGCCCCGGGGCCCCACAUUGCCUCGGCACAUGGAGACGCGCUGCCCCGAGGCCCCGCGAUGCCCUGUGAUGUCCCGCGAUGCCGCCCACAACAUGGCGUCCAAACACGGGGGAGGGGGAGGGGGAGGGGGCAGAGCUGGCUGCCAGGGCAGGAGGCUGCACCGUUUCCACAGCAACGCCACCAGUGCUGCAUUCCUAUUGGCCAGGAAGGGGAGGAGGGCAGGGCUGGAUUUGACUGACGGCUCUGUCAACCAGUCGGAGUGCAGAAAGUGGGGAAAAAAAUACCUGAAGCAGAGCAGGAGCAAGGCCGGAGCGAGGGAGCGGGCGAGAGCGGGUGUGAGCGGGGCUGGCGGGGCUGCGGGCGCCUUCAGCUGCCGGCCGGUGCCCUCCCGCUGGGGC